UUUUUUUAUUUAAUUAGCACACUUUAUAAGCAUAAUACAAGAUAAAUUCACAUUCUUUUUAAAUAGGACUACUAAACAAGUUAAAGGACAUCCAUUGGUUAAGAAAACCAUGAAGAUACAGACAUCUCUCAUGUGCAUAUUCAUCAUCUCCCUAUUUACUUUGCAUCAGUGUGCAAGGAUCUAUAUUAGAGAAAUGGAUAAAUCUAACAUAAUCAUAGACUCAAAUUGCUAUCAUACAAAUUGGUUUAACAAAAGGGGUUGGUGUUGUACAGCCUUAAAAGGUGAUCCAUGUUGGGGCGACAAAGCCUCCUGUGAUUCAACAUGUCCUCGUCCUCUUUCUUCUUCUCCUUAAAACAAUAUAUAAUAAAAUUAAUGUAUUAAUUUGUUUAUGCAUGAAAGUAAUAAAUAAUAUAAAGUUAUCUAAUUUAACUUAAUCUAGUAUUAUUUUAUUUUGAAAUUUAAAAUAUUUAAUAUAGAUAUCCGAAAAGUAUUUAGAAUCUUUUUAUUUAGGAUCUUAAUUAGUUAUAAAAAAUGACAAGAUGUUUUGUCCGCAGAUAUGAAUAUAAUAAUUUCACAAAUAUAUAUUAUUACAUACAUUAUUAAUUAAAUUAUAUUACUUCCAUUUAUGACAGAAAAAAAUCAGCAAAAAAUGUUUAUAGAAACUUUAGAACCAAAAAAUUAUCACAAAUGAAUAUUUCUCAUAGUUCUAUUGUACUUAACCAUAACAAGUUUAUGAGAACAUUGAAGCACUUGAGCUGACUAACAUAGGCUUUAUUAACUCUUAACAAAAUGCUAUAUAGAUUAUGAAAUUCGCUAUAUAAUCUAACAUCAAACUUAUCCAUCAAACUUAUCCUUUCACUUAAACCCUUUAUCAAAAAAAAAAACUUAUCUUUUCACUUGGAUUCUAGAAAACUCACCUUCAAGCUGGAUUGUAGUAAUCCGACUAAACUAAACUGAAAAAUAAUCGUUAACUGGAAUGGUUUUUUUUGUGAGAAUUAACAUGAAUAGUAUCUUUUAACAUUAUCUAUAAUAAUAAAGGGGAGUUUUCUCUCACCUUAGCCCUUCACAUCAGCAGGAAGAUAGGGGCUUCUGACGCCACGUGGCAUCUAAAUCAGAUACUCCGGUUUGCGCUGUUAUUUACGUGUCGGGCUUUUCCAUUGUUUUUUAAUUUUGUUGCAUGUUAAUUUCGUUUGGGCUUUAUGCAUAAAUCUUAAGCCCAUACAAAUUAGGUUUCCUCAUCUUCUCGCCUUCUGCCUUCUUAGUUUAGCAGCCGUAAUUUCAGCUCACUGUAACGUCUCUAUCUUCCAUUAAUAUGUACUUUACUCUGAUCUUUAACGUGAUUAACCCAGUCUUUCCACUCUGAAGCUUUCAGUCCAACUCUUUGCAUUCUAAAGUAACAGUUAAGCAACAAGUAUAAAUAUCUUAUUCACUCUGCGAUGAACAGCACAACUUUUCAUUGACAUCGAGAAAGAAAGUUUGUUCAGGUUAUCGAUUACGACAAUGGCGCAUUCUUUCACCUUCCUUGCCGAUCAGAAAGUUGGGCGCUGCUCCAACAAUGAAGAGGUUCGUUUGCUGACGUGUUGGGAGAUAUGCAACAUUUAUAGAGUUUAAUCCUGGAUCAUUUUCUUAACAGGCUAUUCAACACGUGAGCUGGACCAUCACUGAGUUUUCCUUCUCGGUGUGCGAGAUAUGCAAGAAAAGUAUCAUGUUAGAGUUUAAGCUUGGAUCCUUUUGAUUAGUUCUCUCUGAAUGAUUGUUGCGUGAUCUGCAAUGCUCGUGCAAGUACAUGUAUUCCUCUACACGCUUAUCUUUGACCGGUUUUUUGUUUUGCCUUUGUCUUUAUGCAGGUAAUGGAGUUUCAGCAAAGGAAAUGUUGCGUGAUAUUAGAGCUUUCAAGCAAUCUCCCAAGGGUCUUAGAGGUUUGCACUUCUGCAAUACCACAAGCAUUUCUUGAUGGGACGGACACAAAUCCUUCCAGGCUCGCUGAGGUGAUUCUUUUCAUCUUGAAUCACAUGACCUCGGCAGUAGAUGAACAAACUAUCCUUUGUUGAAACUGUUGGUCCUUUUUCUUAAUGUGAAUUUGCUGAAUUUUCUGCUACUUACAAUAUAUAAUCUGUGUGUCCGUUACCUUAUUAAUAGGAAGGUACAAAUGUCCCUGAAGUAGCGCUGCCUGAAGUUGUGGUACCAGGAAGAGAUGACAAAGAUGGUCUAAUGCUUCCAGUGCCGGACGUUCUGCAAUGACCAAACACCAAAGAACAACUUGCUAUUGCUUUAUUAUCUUUUCCAUUUUCGUUUAAAUCUAUUUUCUUUUUGUUUCAAAAAUUAAUGUUGUUGUUGUUGUUUCAAUUACUAACAAUGGCACAAACUGCCUUAUUCCUCUGAGAUAGAACUUGACUUAUCACUUCGGUUUUCUGUUUGUGUUUGACGACCUUAAUGUACCUAAUGGAAUUGAUUAUUUGACCGCUCA